rnacentral:tRNA from 1 species
UUCUCCGUGGUGUAAUGGUAGCACAUCGGCUUUUGGUGCCGCUAGUCGAGGUUCGAGUCCUUGCGGAGAAG